CGCUAGUAAUCGCAGAUCAGCAUGCUGCGGUGAAUACGUUCCCGGGGCUUGUACACACCGCCCGUCAAACCAUGGGAGUUUGGAGCACCCGAAGUCAGUGGCCUAACCGAAAGGGAGGAGCUGCCGAAGGUGAGCCAGAUAACUGGGGUUAAGUCGUAACAAGGUACC
rnacentral:rRNA from 1 species